rnacentral:rRNA from 1 species
AGUGAACGCUGGCGGUAGGCCUAACACAUGCAAGUCGAACGGCAGCACAGUAAGAGCUUGCUCUUACGGGUGGCGAGUGGCGGACGGGUGAGGAAUACAUCGGAAUCUACUUUUUCGUGGGGGAUAACGUAGGGAAACUUACGCUAAUACCGCAUACGACCUACGGGUGAAAGCAGGGGAUCUUCGGACCUUGCGCGAUUGAAUGAGCCGAUGUCGGAUUAGCUAGUUGGCGGGGUAAAGGCCCACCAAGGCGACGAUCCGUAGCUGGACUGAGAGGAUGAUAGGCGACACUGGAACUGAGACACGGUCCAGACUCCUACGGGAGGCAGCAGUGGGGAAUAUUGGACAAUGGGCGCAAGCCUGAUCCAGCCAUACCGCGUGGGUGAAGAAGGCCUUCGGGUUGGAAAGCCCUUUUGUUGGGAAAGAAAAGCAGCAGGUUAAUACCCCGCUGUUCUGACGGUACCCAAAGAAUAAGCACCGGCUAACUUCGUG